GUCCCCUUCGUCUAGUGGCCUAGGACGCCGGCCUCUCACGCCGGAAACAGGGGUUCGACUCCCCUAGGGGACGCCA
rnacentral:tRNA from 2 species